rnacentral:tRNA from 1 species
GCCUGGCUGGCUCAGUCGGUAGAGCCUGCGACUCUUGAUCUCAGGGCUGUGAGUUCAAGCCCCAUGAUAGGUA